UACGUAGGGUGCAAGCGUUAAUCGGAAUUACUGGGCGUAAAGCGUGCGCAGGCGGUUGUGCAAGACAGGUGUGAAAUCCCCGGGCUCAACCUGGGAAUGGCACUUGUGACUGCACAGCUAGAGUGCGGCAGAGGGGGAUGGAAUUCCGCGUGUAGCAGUGAAAUGCGUAGAUAUGCGGAGGAACACCAAUGGCGAAGGCAAUCCCCUGGGCCUGCACUGACGCUCAGGCACGAAAGCGUGGGGAGCAAACAGG
rnacentral:rRNA from 1 species